rnacentral:lncRNA from 1 species
AUCGUCUGUGGUAUAUAUAUCAUCAAACUUUAGAACCCUUAAUAGUUGUGAUUUGUGAAUCGAUGGAGUCAUCGACGCACAUAACAAGAAGCCAAGAAGGCUAGGGAACACUCAGCAAGCCCCACAAUGGAGAUUGGAGACAGCUUUUAUCCAUUUUUUGUCGGUAAAAUUAAUGUUGAGAUGUUUUUUGAACAAAAAUAAUAUUUGAGAUUUUCCCGUAAUAUAUAAAGAAAUACAGCUUUUUAGCAAAAUAGCUG